rnacentral:rRNA from 1 species
GAUAAACGCUGGCGGCGUGCAUGAGACAUGUAAGUCGAACGGACGACUCGGGCUUGCUCGAGUCGUUAGUGGCGGACGGCUGAGUAACGCGUAGGUGACUUGCCCCGAAGUGGGGAAUAACUGCCCGAAAGGGUGGCUAAUACCGCAUGUGUUCGCACGUUCAUUCGUGCGAGGAAAGCCGUGAGGCGCUUCGGGAGAGGGCCUGCGUACGAUUAGCUCGUUGGUGGGGUAACGGCUCACCAAGGCGACGAUCGUUAGGUGGUCUGAGAGGACGAUCACCCAGACUGGGACUGAGACACGGCCCAGACUCCUACGGGAGGCAGCAGUCGGGAAUUUUGCACAAUGGGCGAAAGACCUGAUGCAGCAACGCCGCGUGAGGGAUGAAGGCCUCGGUU